GUGCUCGCUUAGGCAGCACCGAUACUGAAAUUGGACCGAUACAGAGAAAGAUUAGCCCUGCACAAGGAUGACACGCAAGUUCGUGAAGCGGUCCAUGUAAAA